GAGAUAAGGAUGAAGUAAAAUUUUAAAUUAUCCAACACUUGAUCUGAGGAUCUUUAGAUCCGACUGAUGCACUGGUUUUUUACUUCUGAAUCGUA